CAACAUCUGCUUAAUUCUCUUGCUUUCAUUUUCUUUAUUUGCGUAUAAUUCUUUUAUUAUCUUCUCUUUCACUUUGUCCAAAUGGUCAUUGAUUUUUUUCCGGAUCUGCUUAAUAUCACGUUCAAUCUUAACCCUCUGGUCCUGUAGACAUUUCAAAUUUUCAGUGCGGUCAUUUCGAAUUCUUUGUACAUUUUCCAACAUUUGGAUCAUCAUUUGCUCUACCUCUAACCACGCAUUCGAUGACUUUACAUUUUGAACGAUGUUAUCUAUUGCUGUCAAAUCAUUACAAUCAUUAUGUGUCUCUAUAACACUUCUUCUACAGCACGGGCAAUCAUGUUUCUUACGGAAU
rnacentral:lncRNA from 1 species